rfam:Corynebacterium riegelii strain PTDD_83A45 genome.
ACUCAGGCACGAUCGCCGAAAAAUGGCGAACCGACCUGAAGUUCAAUCCUGAGGGA